rnacentral:rRNA from 1 species
CGCGUAGGUGGUUUGUUAAGUUGGAUGUGAAAGCCCCGGGCUCAACCUGGGAACUGCAUCCAAAAACUGGCAAGCUAGAGUGCGGUAGGGGAGAUUGGAAUUCCUGGUGUAGCGGUGGAAUGCGCAGAUAUCAGGAGGAACACCGAUGGCGAAGGCAGAUCUCUGGGCCGCUACUGACGCUGAGGAGCGAAAGCGAUGGGGAGCGAACG